AUUGAACGCUGGCGGCAGGCUUAACACAUGCAAGUCGAGCGGGGGAAGGUAGCUUGCUACCGGACCUAGCGGCGGACGGGUGAGUAAUGCUUAGGAAUCUGCCUAUUAGUGGGGGACAACAUCUCGAAAGGGAUGCUAAUACCGCAUACGUCCUACGGGAGAAAGCAGGGGAUCUUCGGACCUUGCGCUAAUAGAUGAGCCUAAGUCGGAUUAGCUAGUUGGUGGGGUAAAGGCCUACCAAGGCGACGAUCUGUAGCGGGUCUGAGAGGAUGAUCCGCCACACUGGGACUGGGACACGGCCCAGAAUCCUACGGGAGGCAGCAGUGGGGAAUAUUGGACAAUGGGGGGAACCCUGAUCCAGCCAUGCCGCGUGUGUGAAGAAGGCCUUAUGGUUGUAAAGCACUUUAAGCGAGGAGGAGGCUACUCUAGUUAAUACCUAGGGAUAGUGGACGUUACUCGCAGAAUAAGCACCGGCUAACUCUGUGCCAGCCGCCGCCGUAA
rnacentral:rRNA from 1 species